AGGAGUCACAUAUGGAGCAGCGGCCUCUGUUCAUUGUGCAAAAGCCUCUGACCAUCUGGACCACCCAGGGGCUAGAGUUUUCCUACGGAGGGCAGGAUAAAGGAGAAGGGAUUGACACCUCGGCCCCAAGUUCACAGAUUUUGAGAGGAACUGUAUUCAAGUUGCUGAAACCAAGGAGCUACACUCAUGAGUCUCACCUAAACUCAAAUCUGAUUUAGAUGACAUCAUCCUCGACUUUGAGUUGAUGAAGUCUUGGAGGUCUUGGGAGUAAAUACUUCUCCUGUACUCUUGAAACUGGGAUGAAAUUAGCAACUUUGUUAACCAAUAUAAUACCACAGAAGUGACUUUUGAGACUUGCAAGGUUAUAUCCUAAGAAGUCUUGUAUCUUCUUUCUGGAUCACUUGGAAUGCUUGCCAUGGGAACCAAGCCACUGUUUUAUGAGAAGUGCAAGUCAAAUGGAGAAACCAUGUGUUGGCAAGCUAGUCUGCAUCCUCAGGUGAGCUGCCAGCCAAUGGCCAGCCUUAAUUUCCAGUUAAGUGAAUGGCUGGAUGUCUAACUCAGGUAAGACUUCUGAUUAUUGCAGCCUCAGGUUACCCCUGACUGCAACUGCACAAGUGGUCCAGAUGAGAUCAAUCUCACAACUAUGGGAGACAAUAAUACUAUUUUGUGUUAAUGACUAAGUAUUAGAAUAGUUUGUUACACAAAACAGAUAUUAAGAUUAAGAUAUUUAUGUCUCCAGA